rnacentral:rRNA from 1 species
GCUUGUCUCAAAGAUUAAGCCAUGCAUGUCUAAGUAUAAACUGCUUAUACUGUGAAACUGCGAAUGGCUCAUUAAAUCAGUUAUAGUUUAUUUGAUGGUACCUACUACUCGGAUAACCGUAGUAAUUCUAGAGCUAAUACAUGCUGGCGUGCCCGACUUUUGUGGAAGGGCGGUAUUUAUUAGAUAACAAGCCAAUAUUCCUCACGGUCUAUUGUGGUGACUCAUAAUAACUGAUCGAAUCGCAAGGCCCUUGGCCGCGAUAAGUCAUUCAAGUUUCUGCCCCAUCAGCUUUCGAUGGUAGUGUAUUGGACUACCAUGGCGUUCACGGGUAACGGAGAAUUAGGGUUCGAUUCCGGAGAGGGAGCCUGAGAAACGGCUACCACAUCUAAGGAAGGCAGCAGG